UUAAAUGCGAUGAUUAAGAUUAGUAGUGUGGAUAGCUUUUUAGAGAGAGUUUUACUGGUGGAAGAAACUUAAGUUAGAAGCAUGAAUUUCAUCUUAGGAGCAGAAUCUAAUCAAUUCCGGUAUUUCACCGUUAUUCGAAAAGAGUGUGAACACGCACUUUAUUUGUGCUAGUUCAAACUAGGGUGGUACCGCGAAGCUUCGUCCCUUUU
rnacentral:ncRNA from 1 species